UCAAUAAGAAAUGAAGCAUCAGGUUAGAAGUAUUUCCUACAGCCAUACAACCUUGAUUCAAUACCCAGUCUCACUUCAUCUCAGAAGCCAAGCAAGGCUAAGGUGCUCGGAUGGGAAAUCUUAGUAUGAAGCACUGAAACUGAUGUUCAAAACUGAGGUCAGUCUAUUUUAGGGUGUUGCUGGCUUUGGAAUUUCUGAUCAUAUAAAUACUUUUCAUCUUUUUCAGUGCAAAACAGUUUUCAGGAAAGUCACUUGAGGUUGACUCUUCAGCCUUCUGACGCCCUAAUAGAAAAAUAGUGUCUAAGCUUUCCACAUUAUAUCCCUACACAGUUUACAGAAUACAUACAUGAUAGUCAUGAUGACAGUAGCAAGGCUUUCAGGUGUAAUCAUUUAAGAAAAUUUGCCUAUAGGAGACAGCACUGAUGUUAGAUGAUUUGUUUCCUAAAAAUAAAUACUAAAAAGCCUGAACCAAUUAGAACGUUCAUUAGACCAUGGUUUGGUUUGUUGCAGCUUGAGGAUAACUGUGUGGGGAUAAUCCCAACACUGCUUUUACACUGCGUUGCCACGACUGCUCUGACUUUAAAAUAAUCUCACUCUAUGAGAUUAUUUUAAAGACUUUGUGCUAAAGAAGUAGUGCAUAGAAUUUUUUUGUUUUAUUUUUUAAAAUGUCAGCUUUUAGGAGUAUGAACAGUAAUUUAGGAAAUAGCAUGUAUUCUACAAAGUGGCAUAAUCAAAGCUGUACAUUGGAAAACAUGCAUAUUCAGUUUUAGUGUCUGUGUCUCAGUGGCCCAAGGACAAAAUGAAACUUAAGUGAUGUGACAGCCAACUUAUAACAAAAGAGCCACAUCAUGAUUGCCCUUCACUUACAAGAACAUUUUUGUUUCCAUGCUUAAGCAUAUUUAAGAAAUAAGUCAUCUUAAAGUGAAGUUACUGACAAUCGAGCUCUUAUCUUGAAAAGCUAAAUUCCAACUCUAUAUAAAGGUUCCGAGAGUGCAUAAGUUGAGGAAACUAUUUGAUUUUGUCUACAGAAAUCAGAAUCAGAAUCCAUCUGAGCAUGUUUAACAUGAACUUGACACAAUGGGUGCAUAGGUGCUUAACAGGAUAAAUUUAACAACAGCUCAAGAGAGGAGUGCCAGCCUGUGCGUCUCAGCCUUGGGCUAAACUACGUUGUUUAUCUCUUCCCCUUUUUUGGCAAUAAUAUGGGAAUAUAUGCUCUUUGAGCAAAUAAAUCAAAACAGGUAUUUUCUGAGGAAAAGAAUUAGACUGGAACAUAGCCCAGUGGUAAAGCACUUACCUAGCAUGCAGAUAAAGCAAAGCUUACAUUUGAUCACUGGCGAUACAAAAAAAGAAAGAGA
rnacentral:lncRNA from 1 species